rnacentral:lncRNA from 1 species
CUCCACAUGUAACUGUUUCCUGUUCAGUCGGUAAGGCCCUCUGUUUUAAUUAUCAAGAACUAGGAGGAAUAAUUUGCCAUGUCUCCCAUGCUUCAGCAUCUCACUAAAGACCACUGGCAUCACCUUCUGUGUGUGUCUGGAAUAAGGGUUAGCGCCAGGCUAGCCUAGCUAGCGCUGAGCAAUGAGCAUUACCACUAAUGAAUUGAAUUGUAGGGGACAAUUGUGUGUGAAAAGCACUGAAUUGACAAAGACAGUCAGUCAAGGGGUUUCGCUAAGGAUGAAAUUAAAAUCUGUGCUGCGGCGGGCGAAUAAGGCUUAUGCAGCUUGCUGCUUUAGUGGGAAUGCAUUAAUACCGGAGGAGAGGAGAGAAGGAGCGUUUGCAUUUGCUUUGCAAUAGUGAAAUGUUGAUUUCCCCUGAGGUAUUUAAAGUGAUUUGACCCAGUCAUUCUUUUAAAUCACAGACAGGAGAUGAUAAAUGUCCUACUAAUGAGGCCUGUGUAUUUUAUCUCUCACUCUGUCUCACUCCUGCUAGGUACACUCCUCCUGCUAGGUACACUCCUCCUGUAGGGACACAGUCCUCCUGCUAGGUACACUCCUCCUGCUAUGUACACUCCUCCUGCUAAGUACACUCCUCCUGUAGGGACACAGUCCUCCUGCUAGGUACAGUCCUCCUGCUAGGUACACUCCUCCUGUAGGGA